rnacentral:rRNA from 1 species
UACAGAGGUGGCAAGCGUUGUUCGGAAUUACUGGGCGUAAAGGGCGCGUAGGCGGUUCGUUAAGUCCUGUGUGAAAUCCCCCGGCUCAACUGGGGAACUGCACAGGAAACUAGCGGGCUUGAGUUCGGGAGAGGGAAGCGGAAUUCCGGGUGUAGCGGUGAAAUGCGUAGAUAUCCGGAGGAGCACCGGUGGCGAAGGCGGCUUCCUGGACCGACACUGACGCUGAGGCGCGAAAGCUAGGGGAGCAAACGGG